CCACCGCCAUGGACCCUCCUAUAACGCAGGAGGGUCCUCCUCAAAUCAUGGGGGAGGGAGGCCGGAGAGUGCAAGCGGAGGUGGGAUUGUGUUAUUACUUGAAUAUGGUUUGAGGAAGAAGAGAAGAAGGAAGUAUCAAGAAGACCAAGAUGGGGCAUUUCGUGAUGAGUUGGAAAUUGGAGGUUGGGGUACAAUUGCCGAGGACUCAACGGGUUAUUAGGUUUUUGUUGCAGCUGGAAUGGUCAACUCACUUGUGCAUUACAGACGACACUUGUGCAUGCAAUUCAAUUCCAUUUACUGAACAAUAUUGUAUUAGUCAGGCUAUUUUUUUUCUAUAGACUGAUUCUCAAGCGGGCAAUGGAUGAUCUCUCAAGGUUGGGAGUGCUCAUUCUUCAAGCCAAGUUCUUGUUGAA